rnacentral:rRNA from 1 species
CCUACGGGAGGCAGCAGUAGGGAAUCUUCCACAAUGGGCGAAAGCCUGAUGGAGCAACGCCGCGUGAGUGAUGAAGGCCUUCGGGUUGUAAAACUCUGUCAUUCGGGACGAACCGGAGUCUGAGGAAAUGCAGACUCUCUGACGGUACCGGAGGAGGAAGCCCCGGCUAACUACGUGCCAGCAGCCGCGGUAAUACGUAGGGGGCAAGCGUUGUCCGGAUUCACUGGGCGUAAAGCGCGCGCAGGCGGUGAUGUAAGUCUGAGGUGAAAACCCGAAGCUCAACUUCGGGACUGCCUUGGAUACUGCGUCGCUUGAGGAUAGGAGAGGCAAGGGGAAUUCCACGUGUAGCGGUGAAAUGCGUAGAGAUGUGGAGGAACACCUGUGGCGAAGGCGCCUUGCUGGCCUAUUUCUGACGCUGAGGCGCGAAAGCGUGGGGAGCAAACAGGAUUAGAUACCCUGGUAGUCCACGCUGUAAACGAUGAGUGCUAGGUGUAGGUGGGCUCAUACCCAUCUGUGCCGAAGCUAACGCAUUAAGCACUCCGCCCUGGGGGAGGUACGGUCGCGAGACGUAGAACGUUAAAGUAGAAGUUAGACGGCGUUGAGACGNGCCGACGGACGACGACGAGGGAGGUUAGG